rnacentral:sRNA from 1 species
CCUUCCAUGUCAUAAGCCCCGAGCGGAACGAGAUAAGUGGCGGAGGCAGCAGAAGGAGGCGAUGAAAAGCAACACCAAAAAACAAUCACAUUUAAAUCAGAAUGUGUUUUCUUUUCAGUUAUAUUUUCUUUUCCACGACAGAGAGCGCGCGCGCGCGGCUUUUGCUGUUUAUUCUGCUUUUAAUUAAUGCAAAAUGUAUACAAAAUAGCCGCGAAUAGGCGCAGCGCCCUGCCACAGCAACAGCAACAGCAAACAUCAACAUCAACAUGUGAGUGAGGUCGCAAGGUGUGCGUGUGAGUGUGGAGGAGAAUCCUCAACAAAAAAGAAGCACCAGAAAGAGCCAAAGCUGAGGAGAACUACUCUGAUCCGUGGACUACCGUAGAGUGGAAAGAACUCAGGAGCUCAGGAUUGCAAUCACAGAUUUAAAUAAAUAUAUAAACAAAACAAACCCCGUGUGAAAUGAAUAUCCCAGAAAUAUAAUCGAAGAGCAGCAAUUGAAGGGGAUCUCUGCCAUAUGAAUAACAAAAGCGAAAAUGCCACUCAUUAUGCAUUCACAUGCAGGAACACACUCACCGCCGCCGCAUUCGACUGUGAUAAGUUUAUGACGCUUUACAACACUCGAAAUGCAAUGCACACGAACACACACAUUCGCUCUCUCCCAUCGCCCAUCAGACUCUCGUAUACCCUUUCCUUCGAUACACGAGCCAACAGUUUUUCCCAUUCGCCAAAGCUCAUUAUGAAUAAAUGACGUUUCAUAAAUUUGUUUCUCUGCCUCUGCAUCUUCUCCGCCGACAAUCUAUCAUGCGCUCUCUCUCUCUCUCAUACGCUCACCAUCUCUUUCUUGUUGCCUUUUUUGCUGCUCUCUGUUCUGGCAUCUAGCGAUGGAAACGUGACACAAAGAAUGCAAA